rnacentral:pre_miRNA from 1 species
CCCACACCCAUGUGUGUAGGACCUCAAAGGAUCACCAUUAAAUUUGACAAAGAUCGCUAGAAAAGUUAUCAUAUGGGUGUGGGACUUGACUUUUCUAGAGAUCUGUGUCAAAUUUAAUGGUGAUCCUUUAAGGUCCUAGACACAUGAGUGUGGG